GAGUUUGAUCCUGGCUCAGGACGAACGCUGGCGGCGUGCCUAAUACAUGCAAGUAGAACGCUGAAGGAGGGAGCUUGCUUCUUCUGGAUGAGUUGCGAACGGGUGAGUAACGCGUAGGUAACCUGCCUGAUAGCGGGGGAUAACUAUUGGAAACGAUAGCUAAUACCGCAUAAGAGGUAAUAACACAUGUUAUUAGUUUAAAAGGGGCAAUUGCUCCACUAUCAGAUGGACCUGCGUUGUAUUAGCUAGUUGGUAAGGUAACGGCUUACCAAGGCGACGAUACAUAGCCGACCUGAGAGGGUGAUCGGCCACACUGGGACUGAGACACGGCCCAGACUCCUACGGGAGGCAGCAGUAGGGAAUCUUCGGCAAUGGGGGCAACCCUGACCGAGCAACGCCGCGUGAGUGAAGAAGGUUUUCGGAUCGUAAAGCUCUGUUGUAAGAGAAGAACGGAUGUGGGAGUGGAAAAUCCAUGUCGUGACGGUAUCUUACCAGAAAGGGACGACUAACUACGUGCCAGCAGCCGCGGUAAUACGUAGGUCCCGAGCGUUGUCCGGAUUUAUUGGGCGUAAAGCGAGCGCAGGCGGUUCUGUAAGUCUGAAGUUAAAGGCAGUGGCUUAACCAUUGUACGCUUUGGAAACUGCAGGACUUGAGUGCAGAAGGGGAGAGUGGAAUUCCAUGUGUAGCGGUGAAAUGCGUAGA
rnacentral:rRNA from 1 species